rnacentral:rRNA from 1 species
CUUGAUGUGUAGGAUAGGUGGGAGGCUUUGAAGCGUGGACGCCAGUCUGCGUGGAGCCGACCUUGAAAUACCACCCUUUAAUGUUUGAUGUUCUAACGUGGAUCCGUAAUCCGGGUUGCGGACAGUGUCUGGUGGGUAGUUUGACUGGGGCGGUCUCCUCCUAAAGAGUAACGGAGGAGCACGAAGGUUGGCUAAUCCUGGUCGGACAUCAGGAGGUUAGUGCAAUGGCAUAAGCCAGCUUGACUGCGAGCGUGACGGCGCGAGCAGGUGCGAAAGCAGGUCAUAGUGAUCCGGUGGUUCUGAAUGGAAGGGCCAUCGCUCAACGGAUAAAAGGUACUCCGGGGAUAACAGGCUGAUACCGCCCAAGAGUUCAUAUCGACGGCGGUGUUUGGCACCUCGAUGUCGGCUCAUCACAUCCUGGGGCUGAAGUAGGUCCCAAGGGUAUGGCUGUUCGCCAUUUAAAGUGGUACGCGAGCUGGGUUUAGAACGUCGUGAGACAGUUCGGUCCCUAUCUGCCGUGGGCGCUGGAGAACUGAGGGGGGCUGCUCCUAGUACGAGAGGACCGGAGUGGACGCAUCACUGGUGUUCGGGUUGUCAUGCCAAUGGCACUGCCCGGUAGCUAAAUGCGGAAGAGAUAAGUGCUGAAAGCAUCUAAGCACGAAACUUGCCCCGAGAUGAGUUCUCCCUGAGACUUA